AUUGACCGCUGGCGGCAGGCCUAACACAUGCAAGUCGAGCGGAGCGGCGGACGGGUGAGUAAUGCCUAGGAAUCUGCCUGGUAGUGGGGGAUAACGUCCGGACACGGGCGCUAAUACCGCAUACUAUCAGAUGAGCCUAGGUCGGAUUCGCUAGGUGGUGGGGUAAAGGCCUACAAAGGCGACGAUCCGUAACUGGUCUGAGAGGAUGAUCAGCAAAACUGGAAGUGAGACACUGUCCAGACUCCUACGGGAGGAAGAAGGGGGGAAUAUUGGACAAUGGGCGAAAGCCUGAUCCAGCCAUGCCGCGUGUGUGAAGAAGGUCUUGGGAUUGUAAAGCACUUUAAGUUGGGAGGCGUUACCAACAGAAUAAGCACCGGCUAACUUCGUGCCAGCAGCCGCGGUAAUAC
rnacentral:rRNA from 1 species